GACGAACGCUGGCGGCGUGCCUAAUACAUGCAAGUCGAACGCAGUGGGGACGGGUGAGUAACACGUGGGUAACCUGCCAUCAGAGGGGAUAACACUUGGAAACAGGUGCUAAACCGAUACUGAUGGAUGGACCCGCUGUGCAUUAGCUAGUUGGUGAGGUAACGGCUAACCAAGGCCACGAUGAAUAGACGACCGGAGAGGGUGAUCGGCCACACGGGGACUGAGACACGGCCCAGACUCCUACGGGAGGCAGCAGUAGGGAAUCUUCGGCAAUGGACGAAAGUCGGACCUAGCAACGCCGCGUGAGUGAAGAAGGUGUUCGGAUCGUAAAACUCUGUUGUUAGAGAAGCGGUAGCUAACCAGAAAGCCACGGCUAACUACGUGCCAGCAGCCGCGGUAAUUC
rnacentral:rRNA from 1 species